rnacentral:lncRNA from 1 species
ACUGCUGUAGAUGUCACCCAGGAACAGAAAAUAACUAGCCUCGUGAGAAAGUUUUGAAUGGGCAAAAGGGAAAUUGAAUACAAUUGUUUUUUGCUUGCACCAUAUAGAGGCGUAUUCUUUCUAUGUACAGUGAUAGGAAACUGGUGGUGUUUGACAUCAUCCAAAAACAGGGCCCAUUUUUUGAAUCAUAAAUUAUCUUCAUGAACACACCCAUUGCCUUCAACAUACAGCCUAAGUCUCAUACUUUCUAAAAUAUCUCCGGUACCUGCUCCAGUUCUCAGUGAUCACCAAUUCCUUUGUCCUCCA